rnacentral:misc_RNA from 1 species
AAGUCGUAACAAGGUCUCCGUAGGUGAACCUGCGGGGGGGAUCAUUACCGAGUGAGGGCCGCUUCGGCGCCCGACCUCCCAACCCUUUGUGUGACCAAACCUCUGUUGCCUCGGGGGGCGACCUGGCCCUCGCGGGUCGGGGCCCCCGCUGGACCAUUCAAACAAACUCUGCAUCUGUGCGUCCGAGUACAUUCAUAAAUGAAUCAAAA